UAGGGAAUCUUCCGCAAUGGACGCAAGUCUGACGGAGCAACGCCGCGUGAGUGAAGAAGGAUUUCGGUUCGUAAAACUCUGUUGUUAGAGAAGAACAGCGCAUAGAGUAACUGUUAUGCGUGUGACGGUAUCUAACCAGAAAGCCACGGCUAACUACGUGCCAGCAGCCGCGGUAAUACGUAGGUGGCAAGCGUUGUCCGGAUUUAUUGGGCGUAAAGCGAGCGCAGGCGGUCAAUUAAGUCUGAUGUGAAAGCCCCCGGCUCAACCGGGGAGGGUCAUUGGAAACUGGUUGACUUGAGUGCAGAAGAGGAGAGUGGAAUUCCAGGUGUAGCGGUGAAAUGCGUAGAUAUAUGGAGGAACACCAGUGGCGAAGGCGAGUCUCUGGUCUGUAACUGACGCUGAGGCUCGAAAGCGUGGGUAGCAAACAGG
rnacentral:rRNA from 1 species